UGGGGAAUUUUGGACAAUGGGCGAAAGCCUGAUCCAGCGAUGCCGCGUGUGUGAAGAAGGCCUUCGGGUUGUAAAGCACUUUUGUCCGGAAAGAAAUCCUUGGCUCUAAUACAGUCGGGGGAUGACGGUACCGGAAGAAUAAGCACCGGCUAACUACGUGCCAGCAGCCGCGGUAAUACGUAGGGUGCAAGCGUUAAUCGGAAUUACUGGGCGUAAAGCGUGCGCAGGCGGUUUGCUAAGACCGAUGUGAAAUCCCCGGGCUCAACCUGGGAACUGCAUUGGUGACUGGCAGGCUAGAGUAUGGCAGAGGGGGGUAGAAUUCCACGUGUAGCAGUGAAAUGCGUAGAGAUGUGGAGGAAUACCGAUGGCGAAGGCAGCCCCCUGGGCCAAUACUGACGCUCAUGCACGAAAGCGUGGGGAGCAAACAGGAUUAGAUACCCUGGUAGUCCACGCCCUAAACGAUGUCAACUGGUUGUUGGGGAUUCAUUUCCUUAGUAACGUAGCUAACGCGUGAAGUUGACCGCCUGGGGAGUACGGUCGCAAGAUUAAAACUCAAAUGAAUUGACGGGGUCAUAGCUGUUUCCU
rnacentral:rRNA from 1 species